rnacentral:lncRNA from 1 species
UCAAAUUUUAAAACCUCAAAUUAAAAGUCUGUUCGCACUAGAAAAAUACAAGCAAAUACAUUAGCAACCAACAAUAAAUUAAAACCUAAACAUCCAGCAUAAUUUGAACUUUGAAGAAAAAAUUCCAACAACACCAGCAUCCAGAAAUUCCAGCAACACCAGCACCAACAUCCAAAAAUUCCAGCAACACCAGCACCAACAUCCAAAAAUUUAUCAUUGGUCAAAAAAUCAGUUAAUUUCCAAAUCCAAAAUCAUUCAACAGCACAAAAACAGAAAUCUAAUCUAGAAUGAAUAAUUAAUACAACAAGUUAAUUGCUAAGCAUCAAACACAUUAAUAGUUAACAUUACAGAAUGAAAGUACUAGGAAUAUAAGGGGAAAAAACCUAAAAGCCAAUUUCCUUUUCGUUUUUCUUUUCUAAACCUUAUACUGUUCUUUCCACUUUCCAAAUAAAUAAGGUGGUCAUCAAAUUCCCCCAGAAAAUAUUUAUAAUAUGCUAAGAUUUUCAAGGAAUAACCAUAGAAAGUGGUUAUGAUUUUCAAAUAUUACUACAAUUCGUGUAAAUUAAUGUGAAAUCUGCACUCUUGUUAUGCAGUACUGAGAUUGAUCGUGGCUAGAAAGCUUAACAAAGCAAAAUAUCAACAGAUUCAAAACAAUCAAAAUAAACCGAUACAUAUUAAAGUUAACAACACUUAACAAAGCAAUCAAGAACUCAAUAUCAACAGAUUCAAUAAAAAUCAACAGAAAAAAGAAAAGGGUCGGGGAAAGAGGGGCAAACCUGAAGAAAUAUGUAAAAACCCUAGCUGCAAAAGGAUAGAAAAAGAAGAAGUAGAGGUCAGAGAUCUCGAAUGGAACAAAUGUUACAAUACAACUUACAAGCACACGAAGCCCAGAAUUAAUACAUGGAUAAACAUUAAACUUUACCUCUUUGACUCUUUCUGCUGCAAGUGAAUAGAGACGCCGAGGGGUUUUGUUCGAGUUUUUUUUCGACUUCGAGUAUACUAGAUGAGUAGAUCGAUGCGGAGAUGAGGGUUAUUUACUUGUUGAUCGGCUAGAGAAGAGAAAUAUACAAGGGGCAAGAGGCAGAGAUGAAGAAAAUUGAAAGGGAAAGUAGGAAGGAGAGAAGACUUUGGUCUGGUGUGGGCGGCGGCUUAGAAGUAAAGUGUAAUGUGAUUUAGGUUUAGGUUUACUGUGCUAUUUAUACCAGGUUGUUUUUAAAUGUAUUUUAUGGGUGACUGGUUCGGUUCACCGGUUUUGGUGGUAAAACCGAAACCGAACCGAACCGGAAAGAUUUCUGG